AGCUCCAAUAGCGUAUAUUAAAGUUGUUGCAGUUAAAAAGCUCGUAGUUGAAUUUCAGAGUGGGCCAGUCGGUCCUCCUUCAUGGGAGCGUUACUGGCUGGUUCGUUCUUCUUCGCAAAGACUGCGCUUGCUCUUUACUGAGUGGGCGUAGGAUUUACGGCGUUUACUUUGAAAAAAUUAGAGUGUUCAAAGCAGGCAAUCGCUUGAAUACAUGAGCAUGGAAUAAUGGAAUAGGACUUUGGUCUUAUUUUGUUGGUUUCUGAGACCGAAGUAAUGAUUAAGAGGGACAGUUGGGGGCAUUCGUAUUUCGUUGUCAGAGGUGAAAUUCUUGGAUUUACGAAAGACGAACAAUUGCGAAAGCAUUUGCCAAGAAUGUUUUCA
rnacentral:rRNA from 1 species